AUGAGGCCCAGGGAUGUGUCAGCGCUCCUCUCUGAGUCUGGAAAGACACCGCCCCUUGAGAAAAGGCCUGCAGAUGUGUCCCAGGACAGCUGGCGCAUUGGUGGUUCAGUGGUAGAAUUCUCGCCUGCCACGCGGGAGGCCCGGGUUCGAUUCCCGGCCAAUGCAGUGCUGCUUUUUGGCCUUUUCUCAGCAAGUUCCCCCACAGAAAUCCUGCUGGAGGAGCCAGCUUCCCGCAGCCACACCCAGUCUGCAGCAGCCAAGGGCUGCUGUCAGCCCGACCACACUCCCUGCUCAAGGGAGCAGGGGAUCGGAAGAUACACCCUGAGAAAGACAAGGUCCCCAGAGCUGUGGCUGGUGGCUGGGGACAGACAGCGAUGUCAGGACGGGACCUGACACGUGUCUGCCUAGGGGUGAUGGAUGCCCCAGCCCCUGGUGGGUGCCCCACACAGGCCCGGUCGCAGGACUUGGCCUCUCUCCUUCACAGGGGACGUGCAGAGAGAAAAGACAACGACAGAGGGGAGCAGAGGAAGGGAAGUUUGCAACCUGGGCGCCCCCAGCCCGAGGCCUAGUGUUUCUUCAAAAGAACACUGUCGGCUCUUUCAUCUCUAGGUUGUGAGCCACAGGGAGGGGAUCUGAAGCUGCACUCGUUUUGAAGGUAGUCUGUGGCCCAGAAAUGUACGCUCCCAAGUCCCCAGGAUCUUUGCUGGUGUCAAGGUCACAGGCAUUCCUAUUCUCUGUGCCAGAGAGGAGAUCUGCUUCUGCCUCGCUCCUCUGCAAGCCCUGACUGAGGAAGUGUCCUCUAGAGAGGGCUCAGAGCCUCCGUGCACACCUGGUCCGAGCUGCUGCAGGACGGCAGAAACACCCAUUCCCCGGGAGGCACAGUCCCCAGUGCCGGCGGACUCCACGCUUCACAAUGUGCCACUCAACUACCUUGUCCCUGGUCAGAGAAGGAGCCAGAGACAGGCCAGGACGCGUUUGGAAUCCUCUUCCACCCAAGGAGAACCUGGGGCCACAACCAGCAUCACAACCAUAGCCCCGCACUGGAUCCCUGGCCUCUGCGACGCAGCACGCCAAUAGCCACCAGCUGCACGAAGACCAGUUACCUGGCCACCUCCUAGGUACACACUGUAAGUGUUUCAGGAGUUGGUCAUGCCUCAGAACAACUCUCCCCCAUUUUUAAAAUAAUUUUUACUUUCCAUAUAGGUGGAAAAUAAAAAUUUACAGUAUUGUCA
rnacentral:tRNA from 1 species